rnacentral:sRNA from 1 species
CUUGGAAAAUGAACUUGGUCAAGGAGAAAAAUCCAUGCUUCAACCACAGGACAUAGAAACAGAGAAGUUAAAACUUGAGCGAGAACGCUUGCAACUGGAAAAGGAUAGGCUGCAGUUUUUGAAGUUUGAAUCUGAGAAGUUGCAGAUUGAAAAGGAACGCUUACAGUUCACAGAACCCCAAAGUCCAAGCUCUUCUUGGGAUUUCCUACCUUCUGGAAUCACUCCUGGGAUUCUAGCUGUUCUCCAGUGGACCACCCUGUUUUUUCUAAAGGAACCCCAAUGGAGGCAGAAGUCUUACCACACCCAAUCACUCACAGAUCUCAGCAGCCUCCUGCCUGAAGAAAGUAACAUGAAAUCGGGAGUGAAAGCUAAGAGAGGUACAGAUGGGUUGCCUGACUAUACAACAUAUUCACCACAUUGUUACCAACAAUAGGCCGGAAGUGGGAAUUUUGCAAUUUGCACUUUCAUGGCAGUGCUUCCUAAUAGGUGUUUAUGAAUAGAUUCCAAAUGUGCUUCAGCCCUAGAAAUGUCAACGAAAGUCUUCAAACUAGAAGAUGCCUUGUCAGGGACAUGACGUAAAGUAGCUAGCUGCAGAGUAUCUCACUGCCCACUGUGGACAAGAAGCCUGAUAAGCUGCUGGAGGAGAUGCCCAAGGAUCACUGCACCCAGCCCAAGGUCUUGCCAUGGUAUAUGUGGGUGGCAAAUGGGAAUGGGGGAGGGCAGCUCUACAAAGCAUACCUCAGCAGCAGCAAAGAAUCUCUGUCCUCAUGUAUCAGUCCUCUGAACCUUUGUGGUGCAUGUGCUUUUUAAUGGCAUUCAUGCCAGCUUCAGAGUGACUGCUCCAAUACAGCAUGUGUCUUCUCCAAAAUAGAGUAUCAUUAUUUUAAAAUACUUGGUAUGAAAAAAUUUGAUUGGAUUCAAAUCCAUUCACAUUUUGCCAAGGAUUUUUAAUAGUACAUUCAUCAACAAAAAGUAAGCUGUACUAUAUCCUUUAAAUAUAAUUUCAGC